CCCAAGACGACUCUUCCCAUCUCACAUGAGAUCAAGAUCCCAGGAAGAAGACCUGGUAGAUAGACUGCAGGUGGACGCCUGGUAACAGGCGCAGCCAAGCAGGCCUAAUGAUCGUACGGCUUGUCUUC
rnacentral:rRNA from 1 species